UUGCUAGCUUUGGCAGCACAUAUACAAAAAUUGGAAUGAUACAGAGAUUAGUGUGGCCCCUGUGCAAGGAUGACACGCAAAUUUGUGAAGCGUUCCACGUUUUU